GGUGUUUCUACAGCCAGAUGUCAGACGUGCAGUCUCCUCCAGGAUAUCUGAGCUCGUGGGCCAGAACCGGACCGUCGGGUUCUUUACCAAAAUCCACCAGGAAGGUUUCAUUCAGGGAGAGACCUCCACUACCAGAGUCCACAUCGAUCUGCAUCAUCACUGAACCAGCUCUGCACAGACAGACAGAUUAGACGCUGAUGUCCAGGAAAGAGGAAGUGGAAGUCUUGCUAAUCAACAGUUGUGAAGAGACAAACCUUCAUGGUGCCAACUACAGGAGCAGAGGAGGCCUUUCUCUCAGUCAGAAAGAGACGAGGACAACAGAAUGAGUGAUGACAUGAACUGAUUUAAUCUAUUCUGCAUUUGGAGUGAUGCAUUUAAAACUUAUUUUUUGAUUUGUGCAUGCAUUUAAGAUUAUGUAAGAGAAGAGAUUUAGUUUGUUUGAGAAGUGUGGCCUACUAUAUUUAAACAUUUAAAGGAUUAUACUAACAUGAGUUAAAGAGACCUGCAUGAUGUGUUUUAUUACCUUAUUUGGAGAAACAUUUGUAAGCUGAGGGAAAAGGGUGUUGCAACUACAGGACGGAAGCACCAUCGACUUAUAAAAGGAAAAGUAAUGUAAAACCCAAUCAGUGUGAUGAUCAAGUCCUGUUUGAGAAAACAGAGGGGUCCUCCCGGCCUGUUUCUUUAUUUAAGUUGCUGAGCCUAGAGCUGUGCGCAAACUUUUUGGGGCUGGUUGAAAAUAAAUCAGUUUCUCUUUGGGUUCACGCCUUUAGAAAACUAGAAAGUG